rnacentral:lncRNA from 1 species
UAUAAAAGGAAAUAAAGAAAAAAAAAAGAAUAGAAAUAGAAACAGAAUAGGCAAAACGAAAAGCAGGGAAAGAAAGAAAGAAAGGAGAAAAGAGAGAAGAAAGGGAAAAUUGAAGGUUUGAAGCUUGAGAUUUAAAUAGGUAUGUCAAUUUAACCCUUUUUACUUAAUUUUGAUGUUUUAGAAACUUUAGAACAAGGUUUUGAUGAAGUUAAGUUGAUUUAUUGUAAGAUAGUUGAUUAUAAGACAUUGUUCUUAUUGAACAAAAAAGAUGAAUUAAGGGCUAAAUUGAUAGAAAUUCAAGUUAGAAAUGAAAUAAGGAUUGAAUUGUAAAGUGAUUCAUAAGUUUUAUGCUUUAAGGACUAAAUUGAAAGAAUUUCGAAAUUAUGAUUUUAUGAUGAAAAAUAGAUAAUUAUGUGUAAGUUUGGUUAAAAAUUGAGUAGAAGCAAAGUAUGAAUUAAGAUAGAAAAGUAAGUGAAUUUAGUUAGGAUUAAAUUGAAAUUAAAAGUAGAAAAUCAACAUUUUGCACUAAGACUAUUUUGGACAGCAGCAGUAGUUUAAGUUUGAAAAAUCACAAAAAAAUUGUAGAAAUUGAAUUAUAGGAUGAAUAAAAUAUGGAAUUAAAUCUUAUUGAGUCUAGUUUCUUAUGAAAGAAACUAUAUAAGCAAUUGAAUUGUAAAUUAUGAGAUAUAAUAACUUUUGUGAGACAAGGUCAGAAUGAUUUCGAGUUCCCCUGUUCUGACUUUGGAAAAUCAUCAAAAAUUGGAUAAAAAUAAUUAGGGCUUAAAUUUAUAUGUUUAUAAUCCUGAAUGAGUCUAUUUUCAAGAGAAAUAAACAAAGACAUCAUUCGAAUCCUGUACAAGAAGAUAAUUAGUUUUUAGUGAAGAAGGGUCGGAACUGUCAGACAGAAGAACAGGGGAGACUUUAAUGAAUAAACUGUAUUAAUUGGCCUAACCAAAAAUUAUGAAAUUUUUAUGGUAAGAAGGUAUAUGAGUCUAGUUUCAUCGAAAAUUAUAGGAUCUUAAUUUGGAGUUAUGUAGCUCAAGAUAAAAAUAAUUUAGUGACUAUGACACAGAUGGACAGCUUGAAUAUUCACAUAAGUAGAUAGUGAAAACUAUGGAUAAUGUUACCUACAAGUGUGUUGUUUAUACUAAGGAUGUGGAAUGGAGAGGAGGAGGAGGAAAAAUAUGUAUGAAUAUUCAGCUAGCAUGGCGAAUUUGUAUGUUUUUGGCUCAAGGACUAAAUUGAAUAAAAGUAAAACUUUAUGGGUAAUUUUGUAAAAAUGUCGAAAAUGACUAAAUUGAAAGGAAUUAAUUGUUUUAUUAUCUGAAUUAAUAUAUGCAAUGAAAUUAUCAAUUUAAGAUUGGGUGAAAUUUGGGAAAUGGUAAAUUCCUAAUAUGCCCCUAAAUUUUGGUAUUUUUGCAAUUUAGUCAGGUAGGUUCGCAUAUCCUGAAUGAGCAUUGUAAAUAUGAAAAUUUAAGUAUUGUAUCGUAUUUUAUAUGAUAUUUUGAAUUGAAUAUAUAAAAAGGAUGUUACAUGAAACAUGAAAAUGAAUAUUAAAUAAUAAAAAUUAAUUGAAAUUAUUCUAAAAAUCUCGGUAAUGCCUCGUAUCCUAUCCCGGUCUCAGGUACGGGUAUGGGGUAUUACAGGUAAUCCGAAUUAGGGUCUGAAUUUAGCCUGGACUGGUAAUUCAGAUCCAAGCUCAUUAGAGUAAUUGUCGUUGCAGGGGAUUUAGCCUGGACUGGUAAUCCCGACAAUACUCUAUGAGUUUAUAUUACAGGGGAUUUAGCCUGGACUGGUAAUCCCACUGUAAGGAUGAGGUUCGAGGGAGUGUGCUCUCUGAUAUGAAAUGUGUAAGACCAUGGUUGAAAGAUACCAUGGCAGCCUGAUAUGAAAUCCUGAUAUGAAAUGUGUAAGACCAUGGUUGACAGAUACCAUGGCAACGUGAUAUGAAAUGAACAAGACCAUGGUUGAAAGAUACCAUGGCAACAUGACAGAAAAUGAGUAAGACCAUAGUUGAAAGACACUAUGGCAUCAUGUCAAAGAUAAAUAAGACCGUAGAUGGGAGACGCUCUAACAUCUGUUGAACAAUUGAUAUUCAGGUAAUAUGUAUCAGAUGACGAAUGGUUAUAUGAAAUAAUUAUGAAGAUAGAUAAACUAAAUAAGUAUAAGUACAUGGAAUAUAAUUUAUGUUAAGUUUGAUAUAAGCUAUUACCGGAGUAAAUAUACAUAAAAUAUAUGGAAACGAUGGAGCAUGAAAUAUUGAUAUAAUGAAAUGAAUGAUAUAUGCUUAUGAAGAAACGGUAAGAGCAUGAUAUGUUUCAUGAUAUGUACAUAUAUGAUUAUCUUUGAUAUGUUGAUACAAGGAAAUUAUGUAAGUUGAGACUAUUAUUAAACUCAAGUGCGAUAUGUCGAGAAAAUAGAUAUAUCAAUGUUGAAUUUAUAUGAGAUAUGUGCAAGUAUACUAACAAUGUUGCUGUUUGAUGCUUAUACAAGUGUCAAACUGUUGAUUGAAUGGUAAUAUAUUUAUUUAUAUGAUGCAUUGAAUCGGUAAAUAUUUAAAUUUUUUUUAGUGAUCUGUAAAUGGUAGUAAUGCUCCGAAACCCUGUUCUGGCAGUGGAUACGGGUUAGGGGUGUUACACUUAGUGCACUUCAUUUUCUUGUAGCUUUUCUGUUUUCGUUUCACUUCUUCGCUUGAGGUUUUUUUUUUGCUUUAUUUUUAGUGCCUUGGAGAAUUUCCCUUGAGAAUUUUCAAUUUUUCGAGAGCUAGGUGAACUUGAAGUAAAUGAAUCACUAAGGCUGCACAAUUUGCCAGAUUAAAGUUCUAGCCUCGUGAUAGUUGACAUUCAGAGCCAAUGUUAGGUAAAACGUUAGUUGAGAUGACGAAAGGAGUAUACGUUCAUAUUGAAGCAAAGGAGAACCAUGGGGGGGCAGAAAAGCUAGCAAAUUGAGGGAUAUGUUGUUAACUUUGGAAGGUAAGGUUGCCAAACUUGAAGGUUUCAUGGGUGAUGUGCGGGAUGUAACAAUCCAAUUUUCAGCGGUAUCAAAAAUGACAGUUUCAAAACCCUAUUUUCAUAGUUGGGGUCCAUAAAUAUUAAUAUUUAGAGGGUUAACAUAUAAAUAUAUUAAAGUUUGGCCCAAUAAUUUUGUCAAAUUGAUAGUUAAUUAAGGUAUAGGGACUAAAUUGUAAAAAUCUUAUCACUAUAAAUUUUUAAAUUGCAAAUGGUUCAAAAUGGUAAUUAAAUCAUUUUGCUAUAACAAUUAGUGGAGGAUGAUGUCAAUUGAUAUUAAUAUAAGUUAAUUAAGGAAUUUAUUUAGAUUAAUUAAGGAUUAAUGAAUUAAUUAAAGUUAAAGUUUAGUAUAAUUGAUAAAUAAGUGGAAUUGUGUCAUACUUUCUUCCUUCUUAAAUCGAAAGAACUAAGGAAACCUAUGAAGCCAUUCUUUUAAUAUUCAAACUAUUUGACCCUUCAUUUGGUAAGUGAUUUUAAGCCAUUUUCUUAUCAUUUUUAUGUUUUUGAGGUAAUGGGAGCUUGAUUUAACUAGCCCUGUACCAAUUUGUAAAAUUGUUAAAAUUUUUUGAAGUUGUUGUUGUUGGUUUCUUGAAGAAAUUGAUGUUAAAUUGUUAGAUUUUAAGCUUAAAUGUGAAAAAGGACUAGAUUGUAAAAUUUAAUUAUUAGUUUUGUUAAAAAGGACUAAAAUGUAUAAAAUUUAAAUUUUAUGUGAAAUUUUUGAUAUAAUAAAUAGUAGAAGUUCCUAAAAGGGCAUAAUUGAGAUCGAUUUUGAAACCGAAGCUCAAAUUUAAAAGAUAUUGUUAUUCCGAUCUUAGGAACUAAAUUGUAUAAAAUGAAAAACUUUAUGGGCAUUAAGAAAAUAAAAUUAAACUGGUUCAUGCCUAUUAUGGAAUGUUAUAAUAAUUUUUGGUAUUGAUAAAUCAAAUGGUAUGUUGUGAUAAAUGUGUUUGACUUUUGUAUGUAAUUAAAUUAACAUGUUUGAACAUGGAUUAACAUAGAUGAGAAGUUGGUAUUUGAAUGACUAGUUGGUUGGAUGGAUGGUUUAUAAUUGCGUGAGUUGAAUUGGUUAAAUGGUUUGUUUUGGUAUGUCUUUAGUAUGGUUUGAAUCAAGUAAAAAUGGUGAUUUGUUGUGUUAAUUGAAUAGGUUGUUUGGAAGCAUUGAAAUAGGUACCAAAUGGUUCAUUUUUAUCAUUGUCUUGAUGUCACGACACUAAUGCCUCCAUCACCACUCAAGGAGUUGGACUUUAACAAAGUGUAUUUCAAGUGGUCUGUCUUCAAAGUCACGACAUUGAAUGAUGUCACAACACCUACCUCCAUGUUUGUGAUGCUAAGUCACCAAUGUCGCAACCUCAAGUUCAAACACCAAAGUGAGGAAGCUAGUUCAUCUGAGUGCAAAGCUGCAACACAAGAAGAUCACAGUAGUGACAUUGGAGCUCCCAAACAACCUUUGGAGUCAAUUAACAAAGGUGUCGCAACAACGAAGCUUGACAAGUGAAAAACUAUAAGGGGCAAUUUUGUGUCUAAACAAACUUAAGUCACUUUUAAUUUAAAGGCAUAAUUGGCAAUGUUAAGUUAAAUGUUAAUAAACUGUAAAUACUACUUUAUAAGCUUUUGAGAGUAGAUUUUAUAAAGUAGUAUUUUAGGUGACUGAACAUUUUCCUUCCCAUAUUUUUAGGUUAGGUUUCUUUUCUUAUCUUUUCAUUUUUAAAUUAGGUUUUUCUCUUUUCUUUUUAGAAUAUAUUUUAUUUUUGUUGUUUUGUUUCUUGUUUCUUGUUAAAGACUUUUGUAAAUGAAGAUGGAUCAAGCUUUUGGGUGUCAUUGGUUCCACAUAUAACUGUUCAAUGAAAUCUCUAUUUGGGUGUUAAGUUUUAUUAUGUGCUGAUAUUGCUUGUUGGUUAAUCGAUGAAUUGAUUGUUAAAUUUAGUUAAUGUCUAUACUUGAUUGUAUGGAUGUUCUUUUAUAUCAAAAUGCUUAAUACGCUAGAAUUGAUGUUUCUAGUAGAAAAUAUAGAUAAAUGAGACUGAAAUGAAAGUUUAUAAUUAAAUAGUUUGAUAUAGUUGUGUCGAAUAGUGAAACCAAGAUGAGACCUAUAUGCCUAGGUG